rnacentral:rRNA from 1 species
CAGUCGCCGCGGUAAAACGGAGGGGGCUAGCGUUGUUCGGAAUUACUGGGUGUAAAGCGCGCGUAGGCGGCUUGGUAAGUUAGAGGUGAAAGCCCGGAGCUCAACUCCGGAAUUGCCUUUAAGACUGCCGAGCUAGUAGGUGAGAGAGGUAAGUGGAAUUCCGAGUGUAGAGGUGAAAUUCGUAGAUAUUCGGAAGAACACCAGUGGCGAAGGCGGCUUACUAGCUCAUUCUAGACGCUGAGGUGCGAAAGCGUGGGGAGCAAACAGGAUUAGAUACCCGCGUAGUCCCUGUCUCUUAUAC